rnacentral:rRNA from 1 species
UACGGAGGGGGCUAGCGUUGUUCGGAAUUACUGGGCGUAAAGCGCACGUAGGUGGCUUUACAAGUCAGGGGUGAAAGCCCGCGGCUCAACCGCGGAAUUGCCCUUGAGACUGUAUCGCUUGAACACGGGAGAGGUGAGUGGAAUUCCGAGUGUAGAGGUGAAAUUCGUAGAUAUUCGGAAGAACACCAGUGGCGAAGGCGACUCGCUGGACUGAUACUGACGCUGAGGUGCGAAAGCGUGGGGAGCAAACAGGAUUAGAUA